AUUUAUGAUAAGUAUUUGAAGGGCAUAGAAUCAAAGCCUUUUCUGAGGAAGGGCAAUGGCAUAAGCCCUGGUGCUGGAACAAGUAUAGGGAAGCUGAAAGCUUCUAUGGAAUCUGAAACUUCAAAAGAUGAUGAAGAACUUGAUGAAGUGGCAUUUGAGGGUUCAGAAAUUAUUCCCAAACAAGAAGAGGAAGAGGAGGAAGGGCAUGAGAAAAUGGAAAUUAAACUUGCUCAUUUGGAUAAUGG
rnacentral:misc_RNA from 1 species